CAAGACUUGACAUCCUAUGACCGCCAUAGAAAUAUGGAAUCCCUUCUGGGCAUAUAGACGGGUGGUGCAUGGUUGUCUUCAGCUCGUGUCGUGAGAUGUUGGGUUAAGUCCCGCAACGAGCGCAACCCUUGUGAAUAGUUGCCAAUAUUAAGUUAAGAACUCUAUUCAUACUGCCAUGGAUAACACGGAGGAAGGUGGGGAUGACGUCAAAUCAUCAUGCCCCUUACGUCUUGGGCUACACACGUGCUACAAUGGCUAUUACAAAGAGCAGCGAGAUGGUGACAUGGAGCGAAUCUCAUAAAAAUAGUCUCAGUUCGGAUUGUGAGCUGCAACCCGCCCACAUGAACUCGGAGUUGCUAGUAAUCCCGAAUCAGAAUGUCCGGGUGAAUGCGUUCCC
rnacentral:rRNA from 1 species